CGCCCGGGUAUUACGAGCUUUAGCUUAAAACCCAAAGGACUUGACGGUGUCCCAUCCACCUAGAGGAGCCUGUUCCAUCAUCGAUAAUCCCCGCUACACCUAACCACCCCUUGCCAAUCAGUCUGUAUACCUCCGUCGUAAACUUACCAUGUGAAUGCCCACAGUAAGUUUAAUGGCUAUCAACCACCAAUACGUCAGGUCAAGGUGCAGCUCAUGGGGCGGCAGGCAAUGGGCUACAAUUUCUAUUCUAGAACAGACGAAACGCUACAUGAAAUAAAGCCACGAAGGCGGAUUUAGUAGUAAAAAGAAAAUAGCGCGUUCUUUUUAAUUAGGCCCUGGGACGUGUACACACCGCCCGUCGCCCUCUUCAACAGUAACUUAAUAAAUUUUUAAUUAUCCAAUACACCUUAGAAGAGGUAAGUCGUAACAUGGUAAGUGUACCGGAAGGUGCACUUGGAUUAA
rnacentral:rRNA from 1 species